GUCCGGCCGCCGCCGCCGCCGCCUCUACUCUGUUCUUGGGCUUGGCCCCCACAGCUAUAGCAUAGUGAACAGUUAUCAAAGGCCGCUCCGUUCUUCUGGAAGCUGCAGAGAAAGGGAACCUGGAAACCUGGUAUGCCGGCAAAAAGGGCCACAUUCUGCCCCUUGGGUGAACCUGACUGUUCCCUGAGUCGUCGCUGAAGUCAGCUUUCUGGCCAGUUCCUCAGAGGAAGAAGUGAAGCAUGGAGCCACCCAAGCUGCCCAACCCCAGCUGCUGAGGGCCUGCCUCAGGUCCCAUGGCCAAAGAACCUGCUUCUUCCAAGGCUGUCAGUUGUCCCAUUUUCGGCACCCUUGCUGAUCACACCCUCGCUGGUCACACCACCUACUUUCUGCUUCCCCAACCUUGGUUCUCAUCCCUGUAACAUAAGCAUCAUUUUUAUGCUGACCCUGAGAGAGCAAACCCCCCAUCACACUCUGGAGGGUGUGGGGGGUGAAAGUCAACACCUUCAGUCUCUGGUGGAGGCUUGUGACCUCUGACAUCCCUCAUUUGCCUCCGUUUUCCAGUGCACCCCACUGCUGCAUCCACCAAAGCAGUUUCGAGUGCCUGCUUGCGUGCCUGGUACCACAGCAGGUGCUGGGGAUAGAAUGCGGAACAAAAGAGGCCUCCACGGUCCUUUUCCUGCAAACUGUAGUUUACAAUAAAAGUAAACUAUAUUCACGUAUAACUAUAUGGUCUUGAAUUAUGAUGAGGGCAGUGAAGAAACUAAUUGAGUGCCGCGUGAGAAAUGAGGAAAGGGACCUUCUUUAGAUGGGUGGCCAAGAGGAGUCUUUCUGAUGAG
rnacentral:lncRNA from 1 species